GUGUGAUCGACCACUAACUUGGUGAUACCUAUCGUGCGGCCAGUGGGGGUAGUUAGAAGCAUUUAAUUCCAGCUUAUCUAUAAAAGGAGUCCUUGAUGCUUGAGGUCAAUAUCAACUCAAAACCUUCCAUAAUGUGGUAGCGUCGCUUUCUUCACCAUUCAAAAAAUAGUCAGUAUUUUCCUCCGAUUGAAAGAAUUUCUGCUAUCGCUCGACCAGUCCGC
rnacentral:lncRNA from 1 species